AGAGUUUGAUCCUGGCUCAGGAUGAACGCUAGCGGCAGGCCUAAUACAUGCAAGUCGAACGGUGAUAGCAAUAUCAUAGUGGCGCACGGGUGCGUAACACGUAUGCAACCUACCUAUUAUUGGGGGAUAGCCUUUGGAAACGGAGAUUAAUACCGCAUAAUACGAUUGACUGGCAUCGGUUGAUUGUUAAAGCUUUGGCGAUAAUAGAUGGGCAUGCGUCCAAUUAGUUAGUUGGUUAGGUAACGGCUGACCAAGACGAUGAUUGGUAGGGGAUCUGAGAGGAUAAUCCCCCACACUGGCACUGAGAUACGGGCCAGACUCCUACGGGAGGCAGCAGUAGGGAAUAUUGGGCAAUGGGCGGAAGCCUGACCCAGCCAUGCCGCGUGCAGGAAGAAGGCGUUAUGCGUUGUAAACUGCUUUUUUAUAGGAAGAAGGAUCCCUUGCGAGGGAAGGUGACGGUACUAUAAGAAUAAGCACCGGCUAACUCCGUGCCAGCAGCCGCGGUAAUACGGAGGGUGCAAGCGUUGUCCGGAUUUAUUGGGUUUAAAGGGUGCGUAGGCGGUUUAUUAAGUCAGUGGUGAAAAGACGGUCGCUCAACGAUUGCAGUGCCAUUUGAUACUGGUAGACUU
rnacentral:rRNA from 1 species